CCUGAUGGAAUACAAUGUUGCCUAAUUUACUGUUCCGUUCCGUCACAAAUCGUCUGUCAUUCAAGUCAUUCUGUCAAAAACAAAUUUGUUUGGUUUUGUUUUCAAAAUUGUUGAAGUUCUAUUUUCUAUUUGGUUAUAUUUUUUAGUCAUGAAUCAUGAAAUUAAGUAGUAUCGUGGGAUAUUUGAAGUUCUUGGGUACUGAAAAUUCAAGCAGUUUUAGAAGGAAAACAAGUUUUAAACUCUGGUCAUCUUAUUUUGGCUGGAAAAAUAGAGGAAAGUUCUGAGCAUACCAUCAAAAUAAUAUGGUUUAUUCCUUCAGUAAGGUCCAAUCCCCACGAAAUUAAAGGAACUCUAUCUUUCACAACUGGCAUGAGCGUUAGCCAAAUGUUAUGUUCUUGUAAAGUGGAAAAUGUAAACAUGUCUCUACUCUUGUUCUUGUUAAAUUAAAGGAACCCUAACUUUCACAAAUGGCAUGAGCAUUAGCCAAAUGUUAUGUUAUUGUAAAGCAGAAAAUAGUGGAAAAUGUAAACAUGUCUCUACUCUUGUUAAAUGUAAGUAUAAGGGAAGAUGUGAAAUUAAUGGAACAUUCAGUACAUGAGUUGAAAAAAAUGUUAACAGAUUGGCAAAUGAAGACCAUUUUUAAUUGAUCUAAACAUUUAUAGAAACAAAGUAUAUGGUUAAUAUAAAAUAUUACCUGCCUGAAGUAACUUGGUGUACAAAUCAAUAGUAACCAUAAUUUUUAUUCCCAGGGCCAGUGAGAAACAAUGUCCAUUUCAUUUCUAAGUGUUCUAAGGAAAGAUCUCAUAAGAAUAAAUAGAUCUGUACAAUGAAGAUUAACCAGCGAAAUUAUUGUAUUGUUAUAAAAAUAAUAAAUCUCCAUUUCAUAUUAUUUACACUUACAUACAUUAGCCUGGAAUUUCAUUGUGUCUACAUUAGUGGCCAUAGUCACAAACCUACCCUAGUCUACGGAGGUACUGUCUUUCGCAAAUGUGGUAAUACCGGGUUUGAUACAUUAUUGCUAAAUAAAGUUUGUGAAUAGUAAUUUUCCACAAAAUAGACAGAGUUUUAAUAGUUUUCACUGUACUUAAAUCUUUUUUACAUUCAGUGGUAAUAACAUAAUAUUAUAUUUUGUUUUGGUAUUUAAAUUUACCUAAAUAUUUAUAGAAAUAUACUAUACUAAAUUCAAGAUGCAGUAGAAAUAAACAAACCAAGACACGUUAAAUGCUACUAUGAGCACUCCUGAAUCAUAAUUUACAAUGUAUAUACAUUGUAAAUCCCAAAUCAUGAUUUCUAAAGUUUAUACAUUGUAAAUUAUGAUUCGGGAGUGCUCCUAAUAGUAGCAUUUAACUUGUCUUGAUUUGUUUAUUUCUACUGCAUCUUAAUUUUAAAUUUACUGUAGAUGUUGCCAUCAUAGGACUCUUACUUAUAGAUGCAAUAAAAUUAUUGGUUUAUUUUCAUUUUAAAUGUUAUACUUCCAGUAUUGUAUGUAGUACCUAGUAUUAAAACAUAUAUUUUUAAUUAAAAAUAUAAAUAUCUUAUUUUUAUAAUGAACAACAUUAAAUUUACUUCUUGCGGGAGUAGCAAAAAGUUAUAGUAAAUAUUUUUAACUCGUUUAGCUUUUGAUGAUAUUUUCCAUAUGUUUGUGUAAGACAUGUUUAACGAGUAGUCUAAGGGCAUAUUAUUAUACUUUGUUAUACAAAAUAGACAUAAAAUUUUGAAAUUUUCAGCUUCACUUUUUCUUUGUUUCAAUAUUAAAUCCCAAAUUUAGACUCUCCACCAUUUUCUCAUAAAAAAGUAUGUUGAGUUUUUACCCUAGGUAGACCGAAACCACCAAAAAAUUGAUGUUACUAAGUUUUUAAGUAUUAAAAAAAUGCGUUUCAUCAGAUACACAAAAUAAAUGCAACUGAUUAUGUUCAGAUAGUGGUGUCCCUCUUAAUUUUUAUUCCUAAAAACUUUACUAUUAAAUCAAAGUUUUAGUUAAAAAAAAAAACAAAAUGUUUGCUUUCUGUGUGGAGUUACAAAAAUAAGUUGAAAUGCUAUUUAAUUUCAUAUUAUUUCCUGGUGAUCCUCUGUCAUACUAAUUUUACAUUGUUCUUACAUGCAAGCAUUUGUAAAUUAAUUUACCAUUAAAGGGCAGCCCAAGGUAUAUUCAUCUUAAAUGGGUGGUUGUAGUUUUGUAUAUUUUAUUUUUAUUUUAGUUUUGUAAUAUUUUUAAGAACAAAUAAAAUAAUUAUAAUUAUUCUGAA
rnacentral:lncRNA from 1 species